AGAGUGGUAAUUAACUUGACUGGGUACAAGAGUCUCAUUAGACUCUUGUACCCUUGAUUUUGGCUGAAUUUUAUUUGGCCAUUUUUUCGUGUCGAAAGACAACAGUGGAGCAAAUAGA
rfam:Oblitimonas alkaliphila strain E5571 chromosome.